rnacentral:snoRNA from 13 species
UCGCAAGCCUACCAGCAUGUCUCGGCCUGACGUGGCCCUGGGUAUUCCUUUGGUGCUUGCCAGAGCAGCCUUGGGGUGGUUUGAGGCUUCUCCCUGCCCCCUUCCAGGGAGAGGUUAUAGAAAUCUCAGACAAUC